CUUGAGUUAUUGGAGCUCUUCCUUACCACCCUGAGUUAUUGGACCUCUUCCACCUGCCAUGCUCCACUCCUGGGAUUGAGAGCCUUCACAAUCUCUUUGCAUCAGUGUGGUUUUUUUUAAGUCAGUGGGGUUAGUGAAUCUUUAUUUUUCAAGUGGUCAGAAGGGUCCUGGCUGUGUGCCGGUAUGAGCUUACGGCACAAACAAAAAGGAGUUGGAAACCUCAUUAUGUUGCCCUGGUAAUGUUGUCUGCAUUGUUUGCUGCAUGUGUAGCCAUUGGCAAUGCCGUUUGGUCUGUGUGUGCUCCGUCUGAGGAGCAGAACCCGGAAGUGAUAACUUGUGUUUUGAGAUCGUUAUCGCGUGUGCUAAGUUUAGUCUCUCUUAAAUCAGUUCUGGAGGACUCCAUAGGUGAAUGCUCUUCCACAAUUUGCACAGCACUCGCUCCUGCUGCAUGCAGCCCAAACCUGUUCACCUAAUGCCAGGUCCCACCUUACUGAGUGAGUUUUCCAUCUGCACAGCUGCAAUCUCACGGAGAGAUUGAAGCGUGGGCGAGCACAGGCACAUGUGAGUGAACUAGAUGUAUGCAAAAGGUGAGUCUUGCUUGCCUUCACUCUUGGAGCAGCAUUACUCCUAAAGGAGGAAGAAGACUACCUUGAAAAAGUGUUCUUGGAUACGGGGUGAAGUUGCAGCACUGCCCUUGAAGCCAAGAAAUUUACUUCUAAUUUAUACACAGGUGUGAAAAUACUACAAAAUGCAACCACAAAAGGUGACACGGGAGAAAUAGGAAAACAGGAGGGCUGAACACUGCUGUUUCCCUGCAUCUCCAGCCAGCAGCGGCUGUGGGCUUCUUCUGAGCUCGUGGACUUCCUCCUCCAAGGCACUUCCAGCAGCAGUUACCUAGAGGAAAGCACAAGGGCAGACUGAGCGUGUUUCUUCGGAUAGUUUUACAGCAUGCUGGUGGCCAGCAGGAUUGUUUGAAGGAGGAGAAACCUGCUUCAUGCAUCCCAUGUCCCUGCAUCUUCUGGAAGCUGGACAGGUUCCGCAGCUCUCGAUGCCCUCUCCAAGCAGGAGUCCUGGGCUGAUGGAAGUGGGCAGUGUCUUCUCCAGAAGCACCCAGCCAGGAGCCAGCUAACAAAAGAAAUCCAGAGAAGAGCAAAAAGCGUUGUGUUUAUGAAGAACAAUUGAACAGGCCAGACAUCUCCAGCCUGUGAGGGAUACAGCAGAGGUCUAUAAAAUCAUGAGUGGCCUGGAAAAAAAUGAAUUGAUUGCUGCUCUUACCUGUUUCCAGAAAAAGCACUUUCAGAAGAAACCAAAGCUCCAGGAGCUCGUGUUCAAGAAGUGAAACGGAGCCAACAUCUGAUUAAGGCAGAUUCGGUCAGGUCAGGGAAAUGAGCUUCCCCAGGGACUUUCUACUGCUGCUGAAAGAGCUCAAGGUUUAAGACUCCUAUCUGCCCCACAGAAACAGAAAUGAUGGGAAUGUGGUUGCCACAGAUGAGGCUAAACUUCACCACUUACAGGAUGACUGGCUUUCUCAGGACACUGGGUGAAGAUCAGCUUGAGAAGAGGCAGCAGAUACAGAAGAUGAUGACCCAGCUACCUGGAAGAGAAACAACAGAGUCUCAGGAGAAUGUGGGCAGCAAGGGGUUUUCUUGAAGAUGCUCACAGCAGAGAACCCUCCAAGUAUGGAGUAAAAAGCCAGUUCUGUACUGUAAAGCAAUAGAUUCCAGCAGCCAAAGAGGGAAAAGAAAUGAUUGCCAACGUGCUUUCCCUCCAGCAAGCUGGAAAGUAAAUUUGAAACUGAGUGUGAACAGUAAGCAGCUCGUGUGGUGAGUCAGAGUGAGGUCUUGCAUUAGAAUUGAAAAGUCAUAGUGUACAUUUCUGCUCAUGAGUGAAACCUGGACUUCCUUUUCAGUGCCUUCUUAGGACAUGCCAGCCCUGUCAGCAGUCAUGGCCUGGUCUUAGAAAUGAAACUUAUUUUGUUAGGCCCUGCCUUGGGUCACUGCCCAUGGCGGCCUGUCUCUUUUGCAUCGUGCCAUCUUCACUUGUGGGAGCAAUGGGCUUGGUUUUGGAUCUCGUUCUAACCACUGUUUAUGCAGCCACCUCCUUGUGCCAAACCAAGCUGGACUCCAAGGCCACGUCUGUGCUCUCUGGAACAGCACUGGUGCAAUCUUGAUUCCUGUCUGGUUGGUAUUGGCAGCUGGAUUAUCAAGAUGUCUUGAGAAAGUACUUCUGCAAGUAUUUUUCAUAUAAUCAGAGCUGUUAGCAGUGAAAUAUCUUCCCCAGAAAGGAUUCUCCUGAGCUGCACACCGUGACUGCUGCCUUGACAUUCUCCCAAGCUGACAUCCCGACCGGUAUGACACUGAUGCCUUUGGGCAGAAAUCAGAGCCGGUUUGCUACAUGCCUCCAUGUAGCCACGAUGCCUGUAGCGCCUCUGAGAGCCCCCAGUGCCCUGGUGGGGAAAUGGAGCGAGCACGUGGGCCCCAGAUGAACUCCAGGGAGAGAGCAGGCAUUUUCCGUGGUGAUCCUGCUACCCGUUUCCAGUUGUUGAGCUGGCUGGAAGAGAAGCCCUCCGACCGUCUGCUUUAUAUUCAGAUUUCAGAUUUGAGUCCUCACUUAAAGGCACAGCUGUCCCUUGACUUCAGCUAAUUGCCACGUUCCCUUGAAGGAGUGAUGCCUCUCCCAAGCUUCUGUGCUAGCAUCAAGAGAGAACUGAUCUAUGGGCUACUCAGUGGUUACUUACAUCAUUCUUGUGCUUCCAGCCACGUGACCUGACCGCAGGCUUUCAAAAGGUGGCUGCCUGGCUGUUACAAUUUAUCAUGAAUGCAUCUCACUUCACUUUUGGCUCCUCUGACGGAAGGAACAGCCGGUCUCUGGGAGAUCUUGAAAGCAAACAAUAAAAGCCGUAAUGAAAGAAAGCAGCUCAUGCGCAUGGGGAGUACAAGCCAAGCCAUGUCCAUGCCCAAGCAAGUUCAGCAGCCAAUACAAACACCACCACUGUGUUUUGGAAACUCUGCUGGCCUCUCUGGAUUUUGGGAGCCAACACGGUGACGGAAGCCGAUGGCGAAAGCAGUGAGCGAAAACCUCAAAGCUGUGAAAACCGGAAUUUGCCAGCCAUCCAGCUGGACCAGAGGUACCACCACCCAUCUGCUGCACAGCCCCUCACUGCGAGAAGUCCUCCUCACAGAGCUCACUUUAAGGUCUGCUUCACUGCAGCCUUGCAGGAGGCACUCACCUCCACAUUGUCACCAAGCCAACAUGCCACCUCCUCGGCCAGGAGAAUUGCCCCCAAAGGCUCCAGCAGCACCAAGAGAGACCUCACCCAAACUCCCCACCCAGCACACCAGCGCACUGAGAGACAGAUUAUUUGGGAAUCCUCCUCUGCCUUCCCACAAUGCCCUCUGUAGGCUCCGGAGGAACAGAGCAGGAGGUUCCCAGUGUGUGGGGAGCGGGGCUGGGGCUGCGCGAUCCCAUCGGUGCCAGGUGCCCAGGGCAGAUCCACAGUGACGAGCACUAUUUCCUUUAGGAUUUUGAGAUCAGUGCCUCUGUUUUCCAGAUGAGAAAGCCACAGCAUGGUGGUUUCUUUUUGGCCAUCCAGCAGCUCUGUGGUAGAUCCAGCAGCAGGACCAGGAACACAGACAUUCGGGAGUUGGAGGAAAAGGAUGAAGGAUGUCUCAUACAGAUGACAUUAAAUUCUUCUAGCAGAAUGUUGCAUAAACCCAACUGUCAGGUAGUAAAGACAGAUUCCAAGUCUGGAUCUUUGAAGGACAUUUCUUUGGUAGGAAAAUGAGGGGACGUCGGUGGCACUAAUGCACGGAGUGGCACACAGGUGUGCUGUUGCAGCAGCGUAAGCCAGGAUGAGUUUUGAGGAGCGUUGUUGACACUUUUCAGAUGUGUUGUUUCAUACACUGGGAAGCGCCUAACAAGAAAAACGUGUGUUUAUGAAAACCCCAGACACAGCGUCCCCACGGCCAGACCCUUC
ensembl:lncRNA